rnacentral:lncRNA from 1 species
GGGAAUAGAGAGGUUGCUAACAAGAAGAGGCAGAGGUGGAGAGAGUCACCAGUGAGGGGGAAGGCUUAUAGAUGGGCUUAGAGAAAGAGGAUAAGGAGGAGAAGUUGGUGAAAAGAAAGAAGAGGAAUAGGUAGAGGUAGAGGGAGCCAUCGUGGAGGGGGUGGGCUCGUGGGCGAGAUUGGAGGAAGAAGACAAAAAGGAGAAGGAGAUAAGGAGGAAGAAAAGUAAUGGGAGGGGAAAGAAGAGGCCACCAACGAGGAAGGGCCAGAGGUGGAAGAAGCCACCAUGGAUAGGGAGGACUCAUGGAUGGACUUGGAGGAGGAGAAAGACAAGGAAGAGAAGUGGAUGAGGAGGAAGAGGGAGGAAAAAGAAA